rnacentral:rRNA from 1 species
UACGUAGGGCGCAAGCGUUGUCCGGAAUUAUUGGGCGUAAAGAGCUCGUAGGCGGCUUGUCGCGUCGAAUGUGAAAUCUCAGGGCUCAACUCUGACAUUGCAUUCGAUACGGGCAGGCUAGAGUUCGGUAGGGGAGACUGGAAUUCCUGGUGUAGCGGUGAAAUGCGCAGAUAUCAGGAGGAACACCGGUGGCGAAGGCGGGUCUCUGGGCCGAUACUGACGCUGAGGAGCGAAAGCGUGGGGAGCGAACGGG